UACGGAGGGGACUAGCGUUGUUCGGAAUUACUGGGCGUAAAGCGCACGUAGGCGGAUUUGUAAGUCAGGGGUGAAAUCCCGGGGCUCAACCUCGGAACUGCCUUUGAUACUGCGAAUCUCGAGCCCGGAAGAGGUGAGUGGAAUUCCUAGUGUAGAGGUGAAAUUCGUAGAUAUUAGGAAGAACACCAGUGGCGAAGGCGGCUCACUGGUCCGGUACUGACGCUGAGGUGCGAAAGCGUGGGGAGCAAACAGG
rnacentral:rRNA from 1 species